rnacentral:misc_RNA from 1 species
GCCGCGCCUCUCCAAGGGCCAAAAGAUUGAAAAAAACAAUUCUUCAAGAAUCAUUACUUCAAGAAUCCAUACCUCAUAUAUGGUGUGACAACUUCAGACACCUUGCACAAGUCUCCAGGAAUCAGUAAAGCAGAAGCAAAGCAUAUUAAUAAGAUUCCCAAGCUUGAUGCAGAUCUAAAUUAAGAAUGAACAAUUGCAAAACCGAACUGAAAAAUAAGCAGCUCUACUUAAUAGCAUGCUAGUAAAAGGGAGUAACAACAUUAUUUUCCAAUAUUGCAACAUUAUAGCAUUAAGGACAAAUUCAUUUUUUCACCCAAGUUAAACCACCAUAUAUCUAAUCAACAUAAAAGGAAAAACAGAAGGAACUCUUGCAAAGAAAAAAUCAUCUGACAGACUA